AUGGGUGAAGCUGGAGCACCGAUGAUGCAGUAUUUGCUGGAACUGUGGAAUGAGUGGGAGAUCCAAGUUGUUGUUGUUCUCAGCUUCAGUCUGCAGGUUAUCCUCUUCUUCUUCGCUGGGAUCCGCAGCUACAGUGUCUCGUCUGUUGUCAAGGCCCUCCUCUGGUUGGUGUAUCUGCUUGCUGAUGUCGUUGCGACAUACGCUCUGGGGCACAUUUCCUCGUCCUUGUCGAAGAAAUCGUCCGGCCAGAAUCAGCUGGUGGCGUUCUGGGCGCCGUUCCUCCUGCUGCACCUCGGCGGCCAGGAUACCAUCACCGCUUAUGCCCUGGAGGACAAUGAACUCUGGCGGCGCCACCUGUUAAAUAUGUUGGUGCAGGUCGCCGGCACUGCGUAUGUGCUCUACAAGUACAUCAAUUCAGGGGAGGCGACCUUUGUCCGCGCCGCUAUGUAG
rnacentral:rRNA from 1 species